CCUACGGGAGGCUGCAGUGGGGAAUAUUGGACAAUGGGGGGAACCCUGAUCCAGCCAUGCCGCGUGUGUGAAGAAGGCCCUCGGGUUGUAAAGCACUUUCAGUGAGGAAGAACGCCUGGUGGUUAAUACCCAUCAGGAAAGACAUCACUCACAGAAGAAGCACCGGCUAACUCCAUGCCAGCAGCCGCGGUAAUACGGAGGGUGCGAGCGUUAAUCGGAAUUACUGGGCGUAAAGCGCGCGUAGGUGGCUUGAUAAGCCGGUUGUGAAAGCCCCGGGCUCAACCUGGGAACGGCAUCCGGAACUGUCAAGCUAGAGUGCAGGAGAGGAAGGUAGAAUUCCCGGUGUAGCGGUGAAAUGCGUAGAGAUCGGGAGGAAUACCAGUGGCGAAGGCGGCCUUCUGGACUGACACUGACACUGAGGUGCGAAAGCGUGGGUAGCAAACAGGAUUAGAUACCCCGGUAGUC
rnacentral:rRNA from 1 species